GAGAAGAAAAAACAUUUUCUUUUUAAUAGUUGAUGAGUGUGCUUAACACAAUUGCCUGGUUUGUUUAUACUGGUUAGUUGUUGAAUGAUCUGCAUAGCUGAAUCUGAAAUCUGGGUUUUCAUAAUCUAAGGAAGAAUUCCCAUUGAGUAAUGUUUUCAGUUAACGACUGUACUGCUGUAAUCAAUGCUUAAGCAUAUGGUUAAAUGCAGCUAAUAUUGGGUCAUAAAUGCUGCACGUGGCCAGUGACCACCAAAGAGCCCUGGGCUUCUGGGUUUCCGUCCCUGACCCAUACAAUGACGGCAUUUGACCAUUUUGUAUGUCGGAUUUCCUGAACCAACAAUAACAAAAAUACAACUUAAAAACCAGUGAUCCAGACUGGCCUCUUACUCAUUUCACCCCUGUACAGGAUUGCACAAAGACGUGGAAACCAGAGCAGAUCAAAUUCGGAGCCUACCGACCUUGGCUGCUUGCCUUCAAGGAAUGUUUAUGCCUUUGAAAGACGUGCUAUCGUUUAGCUUUGUUGUAGCCUUCUUUCUGCUAUGUUAGUGUCCACCAUCAGUUUUUCCAGUGAACGAUUUAAGGUCCAUUCUUGGAUUUCCUUGACUGUUCAAACUAGUUGAUAUAACAGAGAAAAUAAGGAAGAGGGAUUAUGUAAUCUUCCAUUUUAAACGUGAUUCAUCUAUAAAAUCAUUCAGUCUUCCUAAACUAUGUGAAUGGAAUUUGUUUGCAUAAAUCUAAUGCCACCAAAGGCUUCUAAACCGUGCACUAAUUACGCGAUCUAAUUUUGGAGCUUUUCCAAUGUUAAUCUCUAAAUUAGUUAUCUUCUGCUUUUCUUUUAUGUGUCAUCUUUUGCUUUUUCACAUUUCAUUAGGUAUCAAAACCAAGAGAGACAAAGUACAAGCUAUUUAUAUUUUAUCAAGUCUCAAGAAAAUGGAAAAUGUUUUAUCCCAGUUAGAUCUACAGGAGAGCGAGAUGGGUCCUAGACCGAUGUUUUGGCACAAAAUAGAAGUACAAAUAAUUAUGGGCAGUGGUACCUUAAAACACUUUUUAAAAAUCAAUCCUAAGAAGGACAGUUGUUUUGCUGUAUUUGAUUUUCAUUUUUUUAAUUGAAAUGGACCUUCUUGUGCAGGCAUGUCUAUGUGUGUUGUAUGUAUGUUCAAACAUGUAUGUGUAUACAGUAUGUACCUGUAUGCAUGUACAAUGUAAGGAACAUUGACUGUUACAUCAGAAGACACGGGUUCAAGCCUGUCCCAUCAUCACUCGCUGACUGAAAGCAGGCAAGUCGUCCCCUACCAUUUAUGAACGUCAGCUUUCUCAUCUAAAAUUGGGGUUCACAGUGGUUUUCCAAACUGUUUCAAGGACUUGACAUAGAAAUCAAAGUAGAUAGUACACAUGAAGCUUUAUUGAUUAGAUGUAUAAGGUCCUAAUAACAUGUACUGGUGAGUGACAUAAUUACACCAAUAACCCAACAUAAGAUUUGGAGCAACUUACUUAACUUUGGGCCAUAUUUCUUUGUAGACAAAUGUGACUCAUAAAAGGUUUGUGGCGAAUACAAAGGGCACUGACUGUCAUGGAGGACAGACCUACUCGUUAGGACCCUUGUUUUUGUUUGUUUGUUUGUUUGUUUGUUUGUUUUUAAGGGACACAAACUCGACUUGAAGCAGUUCAAGCAAAUAAAAAAAAAAUGUUUAUUGAAAGCCUCAAGUAACCAUGGAAAAGAAGCCACAGAGCCUCAAAAACCACUGGAACCAGAAAUUUGAAUGCUAGCAAGACUUUCCCUCUUCUCACUGCAUACUGUUUCUGGUUUUCUCAAACUUCCUACACGUGGCUAGGACACAAGGCCACCAGCAGCCCCUGCCCCCACACCACCCCCUGCAUCUCACAAUUUUGCCAUAAGAAGAAAAAAAAAAACCAAAAAACCUACACUAAAAUUGCCCACCUCCUCAUCCCAAGCCUGAUCCCAGUUGAAGAGUCCCCAGAAAAGACGCUAGUCAGCUCAGGUCAGGUCAGGGGCCCCAGAUGGGAACAUGUCACUGGUAGCUCCCGUUUGAACCAGGUGGUUGGAGUCAGAGUGAAGCGGUUGUCCCCAAGAAAUGGGAUGGUGUUUCUAGAAACGAGGCAAGGUCCUAAGCAGUCAGCAGCAAAUGCUCACAAAAGUGCAGGAGGCUGGCCCGAGCGCUGGCCUUUCUUGCCAUUCUCUGGUGAAGGUGACCUUAGCCUCAUGGGUGAAGCUUUCUGUCAAGUGACAAACAAAACCUACUCCUGCCCUUCUGUAUUUGACGUGAGGAACAAAUUACAGAAUAGAUUUAAAUGUGCCUUUAGCGGUUUCAAGUGCUAAACCAGUAACCGGUAGAUUCACUGAUGCUGGUUCUCCCCAUGCACUUGAUCAGUGCCUGUGAUCCAAACCCCCCUUGUGUAUGUCCUCACGAAAGUACAGAGCCAAGGAUUAGAACCUUUCUCUAACUCUGUUUUGUUAGGAAACAGCACUCUUUUGGAGUUCUUUUCAUGGUUAAAAUUUGAUUCAUCUCCUGUUAAAUCAUGCAUGCGAUUUACUUGGGGCUAUUCCUGAAAUUUUUUCAAUUAGAAAAAUGUAAAUUACAAAAUACAUUAUUCAUCAUGUGCACACAGUUGACUGCGUUUUAGAGUAUCACCUGAAGAAACAACAGUAGAGUAACAACACAAAUAGAAAUUCGUUGAUAUCACACUAGUGGAAUAGACCCUAUUCCACUUGGGUCUAUUUGUAGAACUUUCCCACUCCUGAACAAUUUUCUCUGGUGAUUCUUGUCCGCCAAGGGACCUCUUCUGUUUGUCGAUGGUUGGGUCCAUCGUGUACACCAUUUGUGGCCCCACGGUGGGGACUCACGGCCCGUACUUGCGUUGCUCCGGUGGGUCAGCUAGAUGCAGCCUCUCUGUGUGGCUCAUGUGGCUACUGUCCACUAGGAAUGUAUCUCCACUUCGUUUUUACUGCGCACCCAUGCUAUAUGUCCAUCAUAUCCUUCAGGACCAAGUUGAAUGUACUGCUCUAGGAUAGAUCUUACACUGUUGUCCCUCUCUCUUUAGAAGAGCUUCUUUGUUUGGAUGAACAUGUGAUCCGAGCGUAUCCGUUGGCGCUUCUCAAAGACGUAGCUUUGUGCGUCUUCUCAAGUCGCUACGUGUGUAUGUUUGUCUCCCCAAAGGUAAAACCGGAGUGAGUGCCAGGUUACUUUGCAGGAUGACCGCAGUGACCUUCAGUGCCACCAGGAGAAAGCAAUCUGGUAUGUUGUUGUAAAAGUAGGACACACAGCAGCAACCUCAGCCAACUUCAUCAGUCUGCCCCAUUCCCGUGUGGACCUCUCACCUGACCGGGACUGGGGGUGGGAACUGGAAUAGGUCGGCCCUGGCCGCUGUGCCCCUGGGCCGGGGCCGUGGGAGCUGUGAGAGGACAGAGCAUCUCCUGCCCAAGGCUGCAGUGGGAGAGCUGGAGGGUAAAUGCUGAAAAUAAUAUUCUGGGCUGAGGGCCAAGGUCAUGGCCAAUGAGUGUGUCCAAACCAUGUCAUAAAUUAAAGUAACUAUUGGAAAACUGGGAGCUGAGUUGCGGAGCCAAAAUGAGCGGUGCUGGGCCACAGAACGAGCCAAGAAUGAAGAGAGGGACGAAGUGCAGCAGACCACACUGUCAAAGGUCAGCUAGGCGCUGUGCUGGCAGGCUGGCCAGGCCCAGGAGGGAGCCAGGCCCCCGGAGACGCAGCAGGCAGAAGCGUGCUGGCUCAUCUACGGGAUCCUUCCAUCUGUUCCCAGGGAUCCUCCAAGUUAACGCUAACUUAAAAGCUCUUCACAGAUGGGCAAGAAAUUCGAUUCUUCUGUUAUCCUAAUCCCCAAACAAGCCACGAUACACACAGAGGCAAUUUCAGGUUGAGUCAUGUUACCUUUCUCCAAAUUGCAGGCAAUCCCCACUUCUCUGGAGCCCUACAGCACAGACAGAGCACCCCGCCUGGAGUGCAGAGGAAAACCCUAGCAGCUGAAGAUGCUAAGGCAGCGAGGAAAGCCACACCGCAUGCCUGAUUGACUCCAUUGAAACAGCGUGCAACUCUUGAUCUCGGGUUAGUGAGUUCAAGCCCCAAGUCAGCUUCCUGUCCAACGUUAUGGGAAAAAGAAUCAGGAAUCUUGAGCCAAAGAAGCCCCCAGAUCAUGAAAUGACCAUCCCACCAUUUGGAACGUCUUCCCAUGCAGAACUUGAUAGUCCUUUGGAAACGGGAGUCCACUGUUUUUUUGGCGAAAGUUGAUCACAUAAGAAACUUGUCGCAGCCAAAUGAAAUGUGCAAUCUGACACUGGUGCUUGGUCCCUCCCAUUACAGGAAGCCCGCGGUGUUAGCUCACAUCCAGUCUAUCUGAGCUGUAAAAAUAAAACAGCAGGAGCCAUAGGAGUGCAGGCCAGUGACGCUAUCGCUGUACCUAAGGACAAGCGAGUAAUUGGUGGGGGGCAUUCCUGCAGUUGCUGUACAAUAGUAUUUCUCAACCUUUUUCAUGGACUUUCCCCCUAAGAUGUCUUUUCAGAUGUUUCUUCCAAAAUGCCCUCACCAGAGAAGUUCCAGCAUCACAGAAAUACUGCUCACUUUUUUACGUACUAUAUGUUUAUCUGUGCUUCAUACAUUAAAAUAAUGUGAUUUUUGCCCCCCACCCCCACCCCCAAACCAAUUUUCAUCACCUUGUCGGAGGAAGGAUGAUAUUACCUUGGCUGAGAAAGUUCUAGACUGGAUGAAUUCUUCUUGACUAUGAAAAGAGACCAAGGGGAAAAAACGUGGGCUCCAGUCAGUCAGGCUUUGGGUUGAGUCCUGCCUCUGCCUCUCAGGCAAAUGACCUAAUCUUCUUAUACCUCUGUUUUACUCAUCUGUAGAAUGGAGAUAAAAAUAUUGUCUCCCUCCUUGAGUUGUUGUGAGCAUUCCAUGAGCUAAUGCAUAUUCAUUAGGAAUUUGGAGCACCCAGUAGGUGCUCUCUAAAUGUGAGCUAGUUUCACUGUUUUUAUGAACACAGGAACAUUCUGGCAGCGCGGCCAGUUUCCGAAUCUCUUGUUUUCUGUUAGUUGCCAUUUUGGAUUCUUUAACCUUACGAAGGGGCUUUAUGACAUCUGGGAGCAGCCACUUAUUUCGGGAUGAAGUUUCUUACGAAAUCGCUGCUCAGAAAGGUACAGGGCAUCUUCCUCUUCCAGCUCGAGUCAGAUCUCCCAAACACUCACGAAGGCCCUUCAGAGCGAUGAGGCUGAGAUCACAGACAGCGUUUGCCUGAUCUAAAAUAUGCACGGUAACACGGUCUUAAUUAGAUGUACAUGUCUCUGAAGAUAUAAAUAAAUGCUUCCCUUUUU